rnacentral:rRNA from 1 species
GAUGAACGCUGACAGAAUGCUUAACACAUGCAAGUCGAUGGGGAAGUGGUGCUUGCACCAUGGUAACCAUGGCGGACGGGUGAGUAACGCGUAAGGAACUUGCCUGCGGGACUGGGAUAACAGCAGGAAACUGCUGAUAAUACCGGAUAAGGUCAUUAAGCUGCAUAGCUUAGUGAUGAAAGGAGACGCCUGCGGAGAGCCUUGCGUCCUAUUAGCUAGUUGGAGGGGUAACGGCCCACCAAGGCGAAGAUAGGUAGCCGGCCUGAGAGGGUGGACGGCCACAAGGGGACUGAGAUACGGCCCUUACUCCUACGGGAGGCAGCAGUGGGGAAUAUUGGACAAUGGGGGCAACCCUGAUACAGCAAUUCUGUGUGCACGAAGACGGUUUUCGGAUUGUAAAGUGCUUUCAGCAGGGAAGAAGGAAGUGACGGUACCUGCAGAAGAAGCGACGGCUAAAUACGUG